rnacentral:rRNA from 1 species
GACGAACGCUGGCGGCGUGCUUAACACAUGCAAGUCGAGCGGUAAGGCCCUUUCGGGGGUACACGAGCGGCGAACGGGUGAGUAACACGUGGGUGACCUGCCCUCAGCUCUGGGAUAAGCCUGGGAAACCGGGUCUAAUACUGGAUAUGACUCCAUGACGCAUGUUGUGGGGUGGAAAGCCUUGUGCGGCUGAGGAUGGGCCCGCGGCCUAUCAGCUUGUUGGGGGGUGAUGGCCUACCAAGGCGACGACGGGUAGCCGGCCUGAGAGGGCGACCGGCCACACUGGGACUGAGACACGGCCCAGACUCCUACGGGAGGCAGCAGU